rnacentral:rRNA from 1 species
GACGNACGCUGGNGGCGUGNNAAUACAUGCAAGUAGNANGCUGAAGAGAGGAGCNUGCUCUUCUUGGAUGAGUUGCGAACGGGUGAGUAACGNGUAGGUAACCUGCCUGUAGCGGGGGAUAACUAUUGGAAACGAUAGCUAAUACCGCAUANCAAUGGAUGACACAUGUCAUUUAUNGAAAGGGGCAAUUGCUCCACUACAAGAUGGACNUGCGUUGUAUUAGNUAGUAGGUGAGNUAACGGCUCACCUAGGCGACGNUACAUAGCCGACCUGAGAGGGUGAUCGGCCACACUGGGANUGAGACACGGCCCAGACUCCUACGGGAGGCAGCAGUAGGGAAUCUUCGGCAAUGGGGGCAACCCUGACCGAGCAACGCCGCGUGAGUGAAGAAGGUUUUCGGAUCGUAAAGCUCUGUUGUAAGUCAAGAACGAGUGUGAGAGUGGAAAGUUCACACUGUGACGGUAGCUUACCAGAAAGGGACGGCUAACUACGUGCCAGCAGCCGCGGUAAUACGUAGGUCCCGAGCGUUGUCCGGAUUUAUUGGGCGUAAAGCGAGCGCAGGCGGUUUGAUAAGUCUGAAGUUAAAGGCUGUGGCUCAACCAUAGUUCGCUUUGGAAACUGUCAAACUUGAGUGCAGAAGGGGAGAGUGGAAUUCCAUGUGUAGCGGUGAAAUGCGUAGAUAUAUGGAGGAACACCGGUGGCGAAAGCGGCUCUCUGGUCUGUAACUGACGCUGAGGCUCGAAAGCGUGGGGAGCGAACAGG